UACGAAGGGGGCUAGCGUUGCUCGGAAUCACUGGGCGUAAAGCGCACGUAGGCGGGUCUUUAAGUCAGGGGUGAAAUCCCGGAGCUCAACUCCGGAACUGCCUUUGAUACUGGAGAUCUUGAGUCCGGGAGAGGUGAGUGGAACUCCGAGUGUAGAGGUGAAAUUCGUAGAUAUUCGGAAGAACACCAGUGGCGAAGGCGGCUCACUGGCCCGGUACUGACGCUGAGGUGCGAAAGCGUGGGGAGCAAACAGGAGUU
rnacentral:rRNA from 1 species